GCAGAGCACUCUACGGGAGGCAGCAGUGGGGAAUAUUGCACAAUGGGCGCAAGCCUGAUGCAGCCAUGCCGCGUGUAUGAAGAAGGCCUUCGGGUUGUAAAGUACUUUCAGCAGUGAGGAAGGUGGAUAUGUUAAUAGCAUAUUCAUUUGACGUUAGCUGCAGAAGAAGCACCGGCUAACUCCGUGCCAGCAGCCGCGGUAAUACGGAGGGUGCGAGCGUUAAUCGGAAUUACUGGGCGUAAAGCGCAUGCAGGUGGUUUGUUAAGUCAGAUGUGAAAGCCCGGGGCUCAACCUCGGAAUUGCAUUUGAAACUGGCAAACUAGAGUACUGUAGAGGGGGUAGAAUUUCAGGUGUAGCGGUGAAAUGCGUAGAGAUCUGAAGGAAUACCGGUGGCGAAGGCGGCCCCCUGGACAGAUACUGACACUCAGAUGCGAAAGCGUGGGGAGCAAACAGGAUUAGAUACCAUCGUAG
rnacentral:rRNA from 1 species